UCCCUGGUCAUUGCAGAGGGUUUGGACUAGAUGACUUUUGAAAGUCCCUUCCAACCCAAAUUAUUCUAUGAUUCUAUGUUUUGUCAAUGAAUUUAAG